GNUACCCUGAUAGCAAUCGCAUGAAUACACACAUAUAGUACUCAUUUAGUGUGUAUUGUCUUUGGAGUCAGAUUACCUGGAUUCCAGCUCUGCCAUUUACUAGCUCUGUGCCUUUGGGCAAGUUAUUUAAGCUCUAUCAGAUGCAGUUUUCUCAACAGUAAAAUGAAUAUAUUAGUCAUCUUGGUGUCUGUAAUAAGGAUUAAAUAAAAUAAUCUGUGGAAAUCACUUAGCACAGUAUAUGGCUAUUGUUAGGGCUCAAUAAACAUUAUUAUUAUUAUUAUUAUUGCUGAAAAGGUACAUAUUAUAGACUUUUGAAGUAACAGAAUUAUAUGGAAUAGAAGGAAUUUGCCAAUGAAGAGAUUGGUGGUCCUAAUAUUUAAAAUGUGAGUGCAUGUAAAAAUAUUGUUUAUACUUUCAGAAAUCCUUAAAUGCAUUGCUUAAACAAUUAAAGAAAAAAGGAAUCUGGAAAAUCAAGUGAAAGACUAUGCACUGAGACUGGAACAAGAGUCAAAGCUUACCACAGGACCAACAAUGAGCGCUGUACAUACCUCGCUGAAAUGUCUCAGGUAACUUGUUUCUUUACCUUCAGUUUUUAAGAGGUACUGUAAAUUAUGUUUUUCACUUUUCUAGGUUUUUUGAUUGGCUUGGUUUAGUAGAAAGCAGCUGUUGGAAUUAAAGGAGAAAAAGUACCAAGUUUCUAUAUAUGGAAGCUGCUCCAGCAAAGCGCAGCUGCUGCUCCUUACCUUGGACGAGAGGUAUCUCCUCGCGGCCGCCUCCUCCUGACCUUGAACGUGGAGCAGCUCCUCUCAGCCCUCUUGUACCCGCGC